UACGAAGGGGGCAAGCGUUGUUCGGAAUUACUGGGCGUAAAGGGCGCGUAGGCGGCCUGUUAAGUCGAACGUGAAAUCCCCGGGCUCAACCCGGGAACUGCGUCCGAUACUGGCAGGCUUGAAUUCGGGAGAGGGAUGCGGAAUUCCAGGUGUAGCGGUGAAAUGCGUAGAUAUCUGGAGGAACACCGGUGGCGAAGGCGGCAUCCUGGACCGAGAUUGACGCUGAUGCGCGAAAGCCAGGGGAGCAAACGGG
rnacentral:rRNA from 1 species